rnacentral:ncRNA from 1 species
UAAUUGAAGAGUUUGAUCAUGGCUCAGAUUGAACGCUGGCGGCAGGCUUAACACAUGCAAGUCGAGCGGAAACGAGAAGUACUUGUACUUCGGCGUC